rnacentral:rRNA from 1 species
GUAAGUUACUAAGGGCACACGGUGAAUGCCUAGGCUCUCAGAGGCGAAGAAGGACGUAAUAGGCUGCGAUAAGCUACGAGUAGGUGCCUAUAACCGUUUAGUCGUAGAUUUCCGAAUGGGGCAACCUAUUCAAUUUAUUGAAUGAUAUAAUCGCAAACCUGCUGAACUGAAACAUCUAAGUAAGCAGAGGAAGAGAAAAUAAUAAUGAUUUCCUGAGUAGCGGCGAGCGAAAAGGAAAGAGCCCAAACCUAUGUAGUUUAGGCUAUGUAGGGGUUGUAGGACCGUAAUGAUGAUAUGUUUGGUGAGUGGAACUAAUUGGAAAGUUAGACCAUAGGGGGUGAUAGUCCCGUACACGAAGCUAGAUAUAUUUGACACGGUAUCCUGAGUACCGCGGGGCAAGAGGAACCCUGUGGGAAUCUGCCGGGACCAUCCGGUAAGGCUAAAUACUCCUGAGAGACCGAUAGUGAACUAGUACCGUGAGGGAAAGGUGAAAAGUAUCUCGAAUAGAGAGGUGAAAAGAACCUGAAACCGUGUGCUUACAAGCGGUCGGAGCCAAUUUAUUUGGUGACGGCGUGCCUUUUGCAUAAUGAGCCUACGAGUUGCUCUUCACUAGCAAGAUUAAGUGCUUCAGGCACGAAGUCGUAGCGAAAGCGAGUCUGAAUAGGGCGUUAAGUUAGUGGAGGCAGACGCGAAACCUUGUGAUCUACCCAUGAUCAGGUUGAAGCUCUGGUAACACAGAGUGGAGGACCGAACCAGUUGACGUUGAAAAGUCUUUGGAUGAAUUGUGGGUAGGGGUGAAAGGCUAAUCAAACUAGGAGAUAGCUCGUACUCCCCGAAAUGCUUUUAGGAGCAGCCUUCGGAUAUAGUGUUAUAGAGGUAGAGCUACGGAUUGGGUAAGGGGGCUUCACCGCCUACCGAACUCAGACAAACUCCGAAUACUAUAACAUGUUUACCGGGAGUGAGGGCAUGGGUGCUAAGGUCCUUGUCCGAGAGGGAAACAACCCAGACCAUCAGUUAAGGUCCCUAAAUCUAUUCUAAGUUGAGCUAACGAGGUUCAAUUGCAUUGACAGCUAGGAUGUUGGCUUGGAAGCAGCCAUUCAUUUAAAGAGUGCGUAACAGCUCACUAGUCGAGCGAUUGAGCAUGGAUAAUGAACGGGCAUAAGAAUAGUACCGAAACUAUGGAUUGCAGUUUACUGCAGUGGUAGGGGAGCAUUCUAACAUCAGUGAAGAUGUAUCGUAAGGUAUGUUGGAGAGGUUAGAAAAGAAAAUGUAGGCAUAAGUAACGAUAAAGCAGGCGAGAAACCUGCUGGCCGUAAGACUAAGGUUUCCUGAUCAACGCUAAUCGGAUCAGGGUUAGUCGGGACCUAAGGCGAACCGAUUUAGGGUAGCCGAUGGACAACAGGUUAAUAUUCCUGUACCAAGUAGAGAGGACGGAGAUGGCGAGAUGUUGCGUACUGACGGAAUAGUACGUUGAAGGGAGGCGUGAGCCCCUGAUAGUACCACGAGUUUUCGGAUGAGUGGAUAAUGCAUCAACCGAUCUUCCAAGAAAAGCCUCUACACUAAAGCCCGUACCGCAAACCGACACAGGUAGUCGAGGAGAGUAUCCUAAGGCCCUCGAGUGAGUCGUGGUUAAGGAACUAGGCAAAUUAACCCUGUAACUUCGGGAUAAGGGGAGCCACCUUCGGGUGGCCGCAGAGAAAUGGCCCAGGCGACUGUUUAUCAAAAACACAGGGCUUUGCAAAAACGAAAGUUGAAGUAUAAGGCCUGACACCUGCCCGGUGCUGGAAGGUUAAGGAAGGGGGUCAUCUUCGGAGAAGCUCUUAACUGAAGCCCCAGUAAACGGCGGCCGUAACUAUAACGGUCCUAAGGUAGCGAAAUUCCUUGUCGGGUAAGUUCCGACCUGCACGAAUGGUGUAACGAUCUGGGCACUGUCUCAACCAUGAGCUCGGUGAAAUUGUAGUAUCGGUGAAGAUGCCGAUUACCCGCAGUGGGACGAAAAGACCCCGUGAACCUUUACUAUAGCUUAGUAUUGGCUUUGGAUAAGUAAUGUGUAGGAUAGGUGGGAGACUUUGAAGUGGCGUCGCUAGGCGUUGUGGAGUCAUUGUUGAAAUACCACCCUUUGCUUAUCUAGAGUCUAACCCACAAUGUGGGGACAGUGCUUGGUGGGUAGUUUGACUGGGGUGGUCGCCUCCAAAAGAGUAAC